rnacentral:lncRNA from 1 species
GAGAGCUUACAGUACAGUCAGCGAGAUGAGGCAGGUAUGAAGAUUCCAGUGCAUGCAAUGCAGUGUGUUAUAAAAGUCCCAUGACUACCAGAGGGAAUACAGAUGUAAAACUUAGGAGGAAAAGAAAUCACUCUGGAUGAGCCAGUCAGGUAAGUUUACAUGGAAUAAGUAGAAAUGGGUCUUGAAAGAUGGGUACGAGUUUGAUAGGUGAAUUUGAAGAUACAGAUAGCACCUUCUGUGUAGAGGAAACAAGAAAAGACAAAAGCAGUAAAGCAAGAAGAAAUGUGGGAGGUUAGUCAAGUUUUUUUUUCUAGAAUUCUCAAGUUGUAGAGCCAGAAUUAAGAGUAGCUUAAGUGUUAAGCUAAAAAAAAUUGAAUUUUAUUUUGGUAGGCAACUAAAACUAGAAAUAGUUUAUCAUGCGCCUAUGGUAGAGAGGCUACUUUUAAAAGCAGAACACUGACAUUUAAUCCUUGCCAUGGACUGGUGAACUAAGUACAGUAUUGUACCCAAGUAGAGUAAUCUUUUGACAGAUGAAAUGACUAAGGCCCAGGUGAGCAAGUACCCUAGCUAAUGGCAGUGCUGGAACUAAAUCUAAUCUAAUCUUCUCCACGGAAUUUCGUUCUUCUGGGCACCUUGUUAGAAUAAGGCUGUUGGGAGGUGGAGACCACAGAUUUCUUGUCUAAAAGUUGUCAGAGGUUUUGGUAGAAAAGCCAAGCUUAAAGCAGGUCUGAAACUUGGCAGACUACUUGGCAAUAUACAACAGGUACUCUUAAUGGAUGGAAGUAUAAGGAAUUAUAGGAAGCUCAUAAUUUACAUUAAAAAGGCCUUUUGUGAUUUGAUAUAGUCUGGAAUAUCUUUAAGGAGGGAGGGAGGGAUACAGGUCAUUAGCUAUGAUAAAGGAGAAAAAAAUAAGGACAUAUCUGACUGCAUAUAGUGGUCCUAAAGCAGCAUAGCAUUGCUGUGUCAUCAAAAGAACUAUUUUUAUUCAUUUUAUUUUCCACCUCACCUAUCUUGCCCUCAAAAAACUUUAAAAAAUUCUUUAAGAAUUUUCUUUUCUUUGAGAUGGGCUCUUUCCCUGGAUCCCAGCUAUUUCCUACCAAUAUUUUGUUAAGGCAGAACGUCCACGUUUUCCAUGUGAAGCUGAAUCUGUUGUCUCUCCCUUUAACUGUGGGUUUUAUUUUACACCUGAUUUAUAAUCAUUUGGGAUUUUUUUUUCUGAUUCUUCUGUUGUCUCAUGACUUUUUUUUUUCUUCCCCCAAAGGCGACAGCCCUGUACUGUGUCUGAAAUUUUCCAUUUUUGUUGGGUGCUUUUUAUAUAUGCAAAAGGUAAGAAAAUAGUAAUAUUUAUUUAGAUUUAAUAUGUCUAUUUACAUUUUCAGGUAUUAAUUUUGUCAACUUCUAAUAUGUAUCAGGAAAAGAUUUUCACUGAAAAUUUUCUCAAGGGUUUUAAUCCUAGAUUCUUUUUUAAGUAUUGCCUUUUCAUCAAAGGAUCUAUUGGAUUUCUUUACAAUAUCCAAAUCUUCUCUUAUUAAAUGGAAAGUCCAUUAACUUUGUUGUAUACAACAUCUUUUCUACCCAAAGCUACUCUUUUAAAUUAUGAGCUGAAAACACAUUAUUCUGUAUAUGCUUGUAUUGUGAACUCUAUUUUUCAUGAGAUGUAUCUUAUUUAGUUGAGCGCAAUUACUGAUCAACCUCAGAGCUGUUCAGAUUUUUUUUUGUAUCUUGUUCAGAUAAGUAUACUUAGUCAAAUGCUUUUAUAUACUAUUUAUUUUCUUUCCCUUUUUUCUUGUCUCAUUUAACCUACCCAAGGUCUGCAUUCAGUGAAAUACAUGUCUCUAUUAUUUUUUGUCCUUUUUGUAUUUAUUUAUUUAUUUAUUUAUUUGAGAUGGAAUCUCAUUCUGUCUCCCAGGGUAGAUUGUAGUGGCACAAUCUCGGCUCACUGCAGCCUACACCUCCCAGGUUCAAGUAAUUCUCCUGCCUCAGCCUCCCGAAUAGCCGUGAUUACAGGCGCCCACCACCAUGCCCAGCUAAUUUUUGUGUUUUCAGUAGAGAUGGGGUUUCACCAUGUUGGCCAGGCUGGUCUCAAACUCCUGACCUCAGGUGAUCUGCCUGCCCUGGCCUCCCACAGUGCUGGGAUUAUAGGCACGAGCCACUGCGCCCAGUUCCUUUUUAUAUUUCUAUGUAGAAACAAUUCUUUAAAGUAGAUAGGAAAGUGCAGUUAUAUUAUUAUAUAGCUUUCUUCUGUAUACUAUGUGGAAUGCCUUUGCCACUAAGAUGGCUCAAUAAAAUGCAAAGUUAACAAAGAAUCUUAGAGCUGGAAGGAGUUUCAUAAGUAUAAGAGAGACUCUCAUUAUUAGAUUAACUAGCUUAACUUACUUUAUUUUAUUUUUUUUUUGAGAUGGAGUCUCACUCUGUUGCCCAGGCUGGAGUGCAGUGGUGCGAUCUCGGCCCACUGCAACCUCUGCUGCCCGGGUUCAAGCAAUCUCCUGCCUCAGCCUCCCGAGUAGCUGGGAUUACAGGUGCCUGCCACUGUGCCCGGCUAAUUUUUUGUAGUUUUUAGUAGAGACGGAGUUUCACCAUCUUGGCCAGGCUGGCCUUGAACUCCUGACCUCGUGAUCCACCUGCGUCAGCCUCCCAAAGUGCUGGGCUUACAGGCGUGAGCCAUCGCACCCGGCCUAGCUUAACUCAUUUACUUUAUUUUUUAUUUUUAUUUUUAUUUUUGAGACAGGAUCUUGCUCUGUUGCCCAGGCUGGAGUGCAGUGGUAUGAUCUCUGCUCACUGCAACCUCCGCCUCUUGUGUUCAAGUGAUUCUUGUGGCUCAGCCUCUUGAGUAGCUGGGAUUGCAGGCAUGCACCAUUAUACCUGGCUAAUUUUUGUAUUUUUAGUAGUGUUGGGGUUUUGCCAUGUUGGCCAGGGUGGUCUCGAACUCCUGACCUCAAGUGAUCUGCCACCUCGGCCUCCCAAAGUGUUGGGAUUACAGGUGUGAGCCACCAUGCUCAGUCAGCUUAGUUACUUUAAAGAUUAGGCAGCUGAGCCCAGAAACUAGCUGCUGGGAACAAAGCUAAGAUUGAACUCAGAUCUCCUGGUUCCUGGUUCUUAGUUUCAUACUGGCUGUGAAGGCCUCUGGGAAGAAUGUGUUACAUUGUUGGUCUCCAGGUUUGAUUUGUCCUGGUCCCUCUCUGGCUAAUUAGGGUGAGAGCCGCCAUCCUUCCUUCCCUGAGCUGCAUGCUUGAUUCAAGAGAAAAAUCUUUCUUUUGUCAUACAUGACACUGGCAUGUUUCUUUAGUGAUGAUAAAGGCGACAUGAUCAGUGGCAUGAAAUAAAGGUUUUGGAGUAUAUAAACCAUUUUUACAGCGGCUACAAAUUUUAGAAUGUGUGACUGCUAUUAUGUAUGAUGGUAAUCUUUUCAUAUGAUUGUAUUGGGCAAGUAUGUCUCAUUUCUAGGAUUUUUAUCUGUUUUGUUUGUCUUUUAUGGCAUAUGUGUACUUAGAAGUAAAUAUAGUUGGUACUAUAUAUAAUAUGUACAAUACAAUAAAAAAUAAUUUCAUUGUCCUUAUUUUGUUCUCACUGGACCUGUUGAGGUGGGAGAAUCGCUUGAACCUGGGAAGCGGAGGCUGCAGUGAGCUGAGAUUGCACCUCCAGUCUGGGCGACUUUGAGACCGUGUCUCGAAAA